rnacentral:rRNA from 1 species
GAUGAACGCUGGCGGCGUGCUUAACACAUGCAAGUCGAACGGAAAGGCCAGUGCUUGCACUGGUACUCGAGUGGCGAACGGGUGAGUAACACGUGGGUGAUCUGCCCUGCACUUCGGGAUAAGCCUGGGAAACUGGGUCUAAUACCGGAUAGGACAAUGGUUUGGAUGCCGUUGUGGAAAGUUUUUUCGGUGUGGGAUGAGCUCGCGGCCUAUCAGCUUGUUGGUGGGGUAAUGGCCUACCAAGGCGUCGACGGGUAGCCGGCCUGAGAGGGUGUACGGCCACAUUGGGACUGAGAGACGGCCCAGACUCCUACGGGAGGCAGCAGUGGGGAAUAUUGCACAAUGGGGGCAAGCCUGAGGCAGCGACGCCGCGUGGGGGAUGACGGCCUUCGGGUUGUAAACUCCUUUCGCUAGGGACGAAGCGUAUUUGUGACGGUACCUGGAGAAGAAGCACCGGCUAACUACGUG